rnacentral:lncRNA from 1 species
GCAGAAAGGACUUGAAAGGAGAGGAAUGCACCUCUGCGCCCCUUACCUGCCAGCCAGGCACCUUCUAGGCUCUGUGUAGUCCUUCCCUUGUCUCAAAGCCCCUCACUCUUCAACGGGACCUCCCUGUGCCACUCGGCAUGCGGGCCCUCUCCCUUGCCUUGCCAUAGCCCGACGCUGAUCAUCUCCGAUUCUUCCAGGGCCAAGGUCUUUCUACCUUGUGAGCAGCCUCGCUGGGCCUAGACCUUGAAGUCUCUAUGUGAGUGUGCCUGUGUGUUUCCCUGGGUUGUUGUUUCUUGGUUCUGCAUUUUGAGUACAAUCAGAGUGUUCAGGCCAAGCGAGCAGGGUGUUGGCUUGGAGUGCGGUUGAACCUGACCAAGUGUACUGAUGAGAUAGCUGUGAGGAGCGAGGGCCGUGAAGGCAGAGCCUGUGGAGGACAGGUUUUCACCUGCCACACAAGUUCCACAGUCAAACCCUCCUGAGCCUGAGGAGGAAACCACACUGGAGAGGGCUCAAGGCUUUGGCCCCUGGAUAAAUUCUAGCCUCUCUGGGAGGUUGACAAGGACUAAAUGCAUAUUUUUAUUCCAGAUACAGAACUACAGAUACAAAGUGCUGUGGGUGGCAGAUGUGCUUUGGAACUGCUCAGAAUAAACUUUGGCUCUGGGUAAAGUGAAAUUUGACCUAUGAAUACAAGUCAUGCCCAUCC